UACGUAGGUGGCGAGCGUUGUCCGGAAUUACUGGGUGUAAAGGGCGUGUAGGCGGGAAUGCAAGUCAGAUGUGAAAUGCCGAGGCUUAACCUCGGAGCUGCAUCUGAAACUGCGUUUCUUGAGUGUCGGAGAGGAAAGUGGAAUUCCCAGUGUAGCGGUGAAAUGCGUAGAUAUUGGGAGGAACACCAGUGGCGAAGGCGACUUUCUGGACGAUAACUGACGCUGAGGCGCGAAAGCGUGGGGAGCAAACAGGAUUAGAUACCCUGGUAGUCCACGCCGUAAACGAUGGAUACUAGGUGUAGGAGGUAUCGACCCCUUCUGUGCCGCAGUUAACACAAUAAGUAUCCCACCUGGGGAGUACGGCCGCAAGGUUG
rnacentral:rRNA from 1 species